rnacentral:rRNA from 1 species
GGGUUGUGAGGUUAAGCGACUAAGCGUACACGGUGGAUGCCCUGGCAGUCAGAGGCGAUGAAGGACGUGCUAAUCUGCGAUAAGCGUCGGUAAGGUGAUAUGAACCGUUAUAACCGGCGAUUUCCGAAUGGGGAAACCCAGUGUGUUUCGACACACUAUCAUUAACUGAAUCCAUAGGUUAAUGAGGCGAACCGGGGGAACUGAAACAUCUAAGUACCCCGAGGAAAAGAAAUCAACCGAGAUUCCCCCAGUAGCGGCGAGCGAACGGGGAGCAGCCCAGAGCCUGAAUCAGUGUGUGUGUUAGUGGAAGCGUCUGGAAAGGCGCGCGAUACAGGGUGACAGCCCCGUACACAAAAAUGCACAUGCUGUGAGCUCGAUGAGUAGGGCGGGACACGUGGUAUCCUGUCUGAAUAUGGGGGGACCAUCCUCCAAGGCUAAAUACUCCUGACUGACCGAUAGUGAACCAGUACCGUGAGGGAAAGGCGAAAAGAACCCCGGCGAGGGGAGUGAAAAAGAACCUGAAACCGUGUACGUACAAGCAGUGGGAGCCUCUUUUAUGGGGUGACUGCGUACCUUUUGUAUAAUGGGUCAGCGACUUAUAUUCUGUAGCAAGGUUAACCGAAUAGGGGAGCCGAAGGGAAACCGAGUCUUAACUGGGCGUUAAGUUGCAGGGUAUAGACCCGAAACCCGGUGAUCUAGCCAUGGGCAGGUUGAAGGUUGGGUAACACUAACUGGAGGACCGAACCGACUAAUGUUGAAAAAUUAGCGGAUGACUUGUGGCUGGGGGUGAAAGGCCAAUCAAACCGGGAGAUAGCUGGUUCUCCCCGAAAGCUAUUUAGGUAGCGCCUCGUGAAUUCAUCUCCGGGGGUAGAGCACUGUUUCGGCAAGGGGGUCAUCCCGACUUACCAACCCGAUGCAAACUGCGAAUACCGGAGAAUGUUAUCACGGGAGACACACGGCGGGUGCUAACGUCCGUCGUGAAGAGGGAAACAACCCAGACCGCCAGCUAAGGUCCCAAAGUCAUGGUUAAGUGGGAAACGAUGUGGGAAGGCCCAGACAGCCAGGAUGUUGGCUUAGAAGCAGCCAUCAUUUAAAGAAAGCGUAAUAGCUCACUGGUCGAGUCGGCCUGCGCGGAAGAUGUAACGGGGCUAAACCAUGCACCGAAGCUGCGGCAGCGACACUAUGUGUUGUUGGGUAGGGGAGCGUUCUGUAAGCCUGUGAAGGUGUGCUGUGAGGCAUGCUGGAGGUAUCAGAAGUGCGAAUGCUGACAUAAGUAACGAUAAAGCGGGUGAAAAGCCCGCUCGCCGGAAGACCAAGGGUUCCUGUCCAACGUUAAUCGGGGCAGGGUGAGUCGACCCCUAAGGCGAGGCCGAAAGGCGUAGUCGAUGGGAAACAGGUUAAUAUUCCUGUACUUGGUGUUACUGCGAAGGGGGGACGGAGAAGGCUAUGUUGGCCGGGCGACGGUUGUCCCGGUUUAAGCGUGUAGGCUGGUUUUCCAGGCAAAUCCGGAAAAUCAAGGCUGAGGCGUGAUGACGAGGCACUACGGUGCUGAAGCAACAAAUGCCCUGCUUCCAGGAAAAGCCUCUAAGCAUCAGGUAACAUCAAAUCGUACCCCAAACCGACACAGGUGGUCAGGUAGAGAAUACCAAGGCGCUUGAGAGAACUCGGGUGAAGGAACUAGGCAAAAUGGUGCCGUAACUUCGGGAGAAGGCACGCUGAUAUGUAGGUGAAGUCCCUCGCGGAUGGAGCUGAAAUCAGUCGAAGAUACCAGCUGGCUGCAACUGUUUAUUAAAAACACAGCACUGUGCAAACACGAAAGUGGACGUAUACGGUGUGACGCCUGCCCGGUGCCGGAAGGUUAAUUGAUGGGGUCAGCGCAAGCGAAGCUCUUGAUCGAAGCCCCGGUAAACGGCGGCCGUAACUAUAACGGUCCUAAGGUAGCGAAAUUCCUUGUCGGGUAAGUUCCGACCUGCACGAAUGGCGUAAUGAUGGCCAGGCUGUCUCCACCCGAGACUCAGUGAAAUUGAACUCGCUGUGAAGAUGCAGUGUACCCGCGGCAAGACGGAAAGACCCCGUGAACCUUUACUAUAGCUUGACACUGAACAUUGAGCCUUGAUGUGUAGGAUAGGUGGGAGGCUUUGAAGUGUGGACGCCAGUCUGCAUGGAGCCGACCUUGAAAUACCACCCUUUAAUGUUUGAUGUUCUAACGUUGACCCGUGAUCCGGGUUGCGGACAGUGUCUGGUGGGUAGUUUGACUGGGGCGGUCUCCUCCUAAAGAGUAACGGAGGAGCACGAAGGUUGGCUAAUCCUGGUCGGACAUCAGGAGGUUAGUGCAAUGGCAUAAGCCAGCUUGACUGCGAGCGUGACGGCGCGAGCAGGUGCGAAAGCAGGUCAUAGUGAUCCGGUGGUUCUGAAUGGAAGGGCCAUCGCUCAACGGAUAAAAGGUACUCCGGGGAUAACAGGCUGAUACCGCCCAAGAGUUCAUAUCGACGGCGGUGUUUGGCACCUCGAUGUCGGCUCAUCACAUCCUGGGGCUGAAGUAGGUCCCAAGGGUAUGGCUGUUCGCCAUUUAAAGUGGUACGCGAGCUGGGUUUAGAACGUCGUGAGACAGUUCGGUCCCUAUCUGCCGUGGGCGCUGGAGAACUGAGGGGGGCUGCUCCUAGUACGAGAGGACCGGAGUGGACGCAUCACUGGUGUUCGGGUUGUCAUGCCAAUGGCACUGCCCGGUAGCUAAAUGCGGAAGAGAUAAGUGCUGAAAGCAUCUAAGCACGAAACUUGCCCCGAGAUGAGUUCUCCCUGACCCUUUAAGGGUCCUGAAGGAACGUUGAAGACGACGACGUUGAUAGGCCGGGUGUGUAAGCGCAGCGAUGCGUUGAGCUAACCGGUACUAAUGAACCGUGAGGCUUAACCUUACAACGCCGAAGCUGUU